rnacentral:rRNA from 1 species
UGUGAAGGAACUUUACGGAGGGAAAACACAAUGACUGAGUGGCGGACGGGUGAGUAACGCGUAGGGAACCUGGCCCUUACAGGGGGAUAACAGAUGGAAACAACUGCUAAUACCGCAUAAGCGCCCAGCCUCGCAUGAGGCAGAGUGAAAAACUAAGGUGGUAAGGGAUGGCCCUGCGUCCGAUUAGCUAGUUGGUAUGGUAACGGCAUACCAAGGCGACGAUCGGUAGCCGGCCUGAGAGGGUGGACGGCCACAUUGGGACUGAGACACGGCCCAAACUCCUACGGGAGGCAGCAGUGGGGGAUAUUGCACAAUGGGGGAAACCCUGAUGCAGCGACACCGCGUGGGUGAAGAAGCGCUUCGGCGUGUAAAGCCCUAUCAGUGGGGAAGAAAAAGGACGGUACCCAAAGAAGAAGCACCGGCUAAAUACGUGCCAGCAGCCGCGGUAAUACGUAUGGUGCAAGCGUUAUCCGGAAUGACUGGGUGUAAAGGGAGCGUAGACGGUGGUACAAGUCUGAUGUGAAAGCCCACGGCUCAACUGUGGGAGUGCAUUGGAAACUGUAGAACUAGAGUAUCGGAGAGGCAAGUGGAAUUCCUAGUGUAGCGGUGAAAUGCGUAGAUAUUAGGAGGAACACCAGUGGCGAAGGCGGCUUGCUGGACGAAAACUGACGUUGAGGCUCGAAAGCGUGGGGAGCAAACAGGAUUAGAUACCCUGGUAGUCCACGCUGUAAACGAUGAAUACUAGGUGUUGGGGCCCGAAGGGCGUCGGUGCCGUCGCAAACGCAGUAAGUAUUCCACCUGGGGAGUACGUUCGCAAGAAUGAAACUCAAAGGAAUUGACGGG